UUUAGCCCUAGGGGCAUUUUGGUCAUUUCACACGAAAUUUUGGCAUAGAGAGGUUACUUUGAAGUACCUCAUUUAGGCCAUUGGUUCGUUUUAGUCCGUUUUGUCAGUUUUAUUUUUGUUUCGCUUUACGUUUAGUCAAAUUACAUAUUUUAAUUCAUUUUUAUUUUUACUUUGCAUUUUAAUCCUUCAACUUUUUAAAAUUGCAUUUAAGUCCAAACUGUCCAAUCUUUAUGUUUUUUUAGUUCUAUUUUUAAAAUUGCAGUCCAGUCCCAUAUUUUACAAAAUUGCAGGGAGGUCCUCAAAGUCCAAAAUUGCAAAGCCGUGCCAUUUCUUCUCCAGAUCCAGGUGUCCUGUUCUCAUUGGUUCAGAUGCACACUUGUCAGCUAUAAAAGCAACACAGUGGCAAUGAAUUUCACACGUUUUUCCAUUCAUCAAGUGCCAACUCAUAAACACAGAGUCACACUCUCUCUCUUGGCAGUUACAAAUCAAACAGAAAAAGCUUGAAGCCUUCAUCAAUGGCGCAAAAGAACCCUAAACCACUUCCAGAACAAAAAAUCCAGAAAAGUUGAACUAAUUUGUUACUGCAAUUCUCAGUGAUUCAAUUGAAUCAUCAUCACUGAAUUGCAGACUCUGCAAUUCGAAGCACGAGCUCUUCCCCUAUGGCGAAAAGCUACGAGUGCUGAUCACAGAGAUUUGAAGGAAGAAGAAGGAAAGAAGUUAGGGUUUACACCGAAGAAGAUGAAGAUUCAAGGCUAACAAGAACCACACUGAUUUAUUUUCAGUCUCCAGAAACGAAAUCAGAUCAAAACAGAAACAAGAUUUGAAGAUUUUCCGAAGAAAUCAACAAUCUCCAUACAAACUCAGGUAAACACGUGAAUCUUCAUCAUUCUCAUCAUCAAAGCCAAUAACAAACUCAGAGAAGAUGUAGAUCUGUGAAGUUGAAAACAUUUAAGCCAAAAAACCUAAAAGAUUUCCAAAAAACCGUAACACCAAAAGCACAGAUCUACAUCAUCCAGGCCGUUAAUCUCUUCAUCUUUUCGUAAAAAAGAUCAUCAGUACGUGAAUCAACAGAAUCUUAAAAAGAUUCAAAGAAUUUUAUAAAAAAAAGCAAACCCUAAUUUUACGAAAAACGUAAGUGAGAAGACCAGAUUCACGUAAUGUUUGUAAAAGCCAAGGCCAGAAUCGUAAUCGCAAUGAAAAGACGAAGAGAAUGAUAUGAUUUUCAUCAAAUUCUGGGUUGAAAGCUCGCCGGAACCCUAGGGAGCUCACCGGAGAAGAUGAAGGUUCCGGCGAGCCUACGGUGGCUCCAGCCAGACCUUCAUCUCUCACGGCGGCUCAACCCAGAAUCCGGUGAGCUCAUGCUAGAGAGAAGGCAGAGCAAUUGUGGUAUAGAGAGAGAAAGACAAGGGGAAAGUGAAACCCUAGGUCUGUCUCACCUCUUUUAUAGAGGUUUUAUCCUCUAAGCCCAAUGGGCUUACGCUGUUGGGCCUAGGGUUUCAGCUUUCCCUUGGCUUCUCUUGCUAUACGCGCGCCCCCCUUUGCUUCCUGUACCCCUGCUUGCUCCAAAUUUUUAUCAAUAAAUUCCAAGAAAUUUACUAUGUCAUUUUACUAUUCUUCUUGAUAAUUUUCAGUGGUAUUUUACUUGGAAAAGUUGGUAAAAAUUUUUAGUGUUGUUUUGUCAAGGGUUUUUACUAUUUUAAGUCAUUUUUCUCGCAUUUCUACCCAUUACUUCAUGUGCAUAAUAUUCGUGUUCGUCAUGUUUGAUUUGCAUACUUUUCCAUGUGAAUCUUGCUACUGUUUGCUAUGCAUAUGUCACUGUUUUGAUGUGUUGAGUUUUAUUCUUGCAUCAUGCGCAUUAUUCAUCACAUGUUUCCGGCUUAUUCUUAUCGUCACUUUACCGUCUUAUGCCAUACUUUCUUCUAUCGCUUCAUGCCAUAUUCUUUUUUACUAUUUGCUGCUAACAUUUCCUUUCAUGUUGAUCACUUCAUAGCACUUCAUUAUCUUCACUAUUGUCUCCGUUAGUUUAGUUUUCUUUUUUUUACAAAUUGUAAUUCAUUCGGUGAUGUAAUAUUUUACCAUUGGUUUGUAGCUUGGCAAAGAGGCCAUAGAAUGUAUUUAGGCAAUUUUUGUAAUAUGGACUAUGGACACUAUGGCGCACCGACACGCACACACUCACCUUAGAUGUAUGCAUAGGAUUGUAUGGUUAGAUAAGCGCUUAGGUUUUAAACACUUAGAGAAAAUCCAUCUUUUUUUUCAAAAAAAACAAUUGAACUUCACUUCAAAAAUUUUCAUAAUAAAUAUGAAGUCAACACUUCAUUUUUCCUUUCUUUUUUUCUUAAGAAAAAUUCAAUUCAUCUUAAUCAUUUAGACUUUCCUUUUAAUCACUAAUCAAACCUCACUUUUUUGCUAAAUCUAAUGCUCAUGAAGCCUCUCAAUCUCCUUCUUCAAAACCAUUUUCAAAACUUAAAAUCAAACAAUUAAAACAAAAAAAAACAACAAGUCUUUUAGCAAGAACUACGCCGGUUUUGAUCCCGUAAAACGGUACGUAGGCAAGGGACUUUAACCCCUCCAAGCCGAAAUAAAAUUAAAUCCUACUUCUUCUCACCCCCAUUCUUCACUCAAAUAAAACUUCUUUUCUUUCAAUAAGUAGGCAAUAAAAAUAAAGCGUAGAAAUCAACUUAGGAGAGCGGCUCUUAUGGAGUACCAUAAUCGCUCCGGGUGCCUAACACCUUCCCGUAGCGAAAACGACCCCCGAACUUAGAAUCUAAGGGUUUUUCUCAAUUUUGCCCUUCCCAAGAAAAAAUAGAGAAUAUCAACGGUCAAAAGGUUCAAGUCCAAUUAAUGGCUUGGCACCCAAAAACCAUGAUAACAGAAAUGGCGACUUCACUGGGGACUCUUUUUAGCGGGUCGCGCCUAGUUUUCCUUAGUUUAUAUUUACGCUUUAUUUUAUUGCUUACAUAUGUGAAUAUUUGUUUACUUUCAUUCAACGUGUGGGGUGAGAAUAUCAAAAGUCCUAACCCGGGCUGAGUGAACUUAUGUUUAGGUAGAGAUAUAAUCGACAAUUCGAUCCGGGGGUUGCCUCGUGUAUUGGAUUAUGCGAUCAAUCUCACAUAGCUGAGGCAUUUUGAAGGUGAUAUUGUCGGCGUGUGUUGUCAUGCUUAGGCACUUCACUUUCAAUUGUUCGACGAAGCUAUGAACCAUAGUUACCAAACCCAUCCUAGCCUUUUUAGGACGUAGUGCGGUGGCUAAAUUGAGUGUUGUCUCAAACUUUAGUCGUCACGCGAUACUACACUCAAACUAGACCUUCUCACAAAUAAUCAUGGAACGGGUGUCGUCCUGUACUACCAUGAUAUAUGUGAGAGAGGUUGCAGUUUGGGAACUGUGUUAGAACCUUGGUUACUACUAUCCAAAGCCUUAGUUCACCGGACGCCGUGUCCAUCCGUGGCCCUGUUACUUUGAAUCUCAACCCACCUUGUUCUUUGUAACUAAACAAAACAACCAUGCAUACAUGCAUUCAUGCAUAAGUUUUUUUUCACGCAUACAUCGAAGAUUUUUUUAGACAGAUCGAAACAUUGUAAGACACCGCAGGUGUGAACUUGUAUUCAUAAGUUUACCAUUGUAAAACCUUAUUUUGCUUGUUUAACAGUGUUUACAAUGUUUCGAAUUUGUUUAAAAAGUCCUUCGAUGACAUUAAAAAGAGUCGUUUUUGCAUUUGCAUCUGCAUAUCAUGCAUCAUAUGCAUCAUACAUCGGUCACAAAGGCUUCCAAUUGCUCACUACUUCCUGGUUCCUCUGCCACAGUUUGAAAAGUGGCUCGUGCUCAGAAGGUUUACGAACCUGAUAGAACUGAUCGAACCAGAGAAUACAGAAGAAAGAAAAGGGCUAUGGAAGAAGAGAACGCGCAACUCCGUACCAAAUUGGCAUCUUUAAAGGAGGAAUUGGCCAAAGCUCAUGAUGCUAUGACUGCUCUGUUGGCUGCUCAGGAACAACCAGUUCCUGUAGUUUCUACAGCUGCAAAUGUGACUCCUACCGUAACAACUGAUCCCCGCUCUAUCAUGUCAUCCGGGUAUCCUUACGGGCUUCCGCUGUACUAUACUACUAAUACAGGGGCAGGGACCUCUGGUACUACCAACAAUGGCCCAAUCCCAGGGGCAAACUUAACUCCUGUUAGUACUGCCUUGACUCAAGCUGCAACGACUGUUACCGAGCCCAUUGUGAAUGCGGUGCCUCUAUUUGUCCAUGCUAAUGCGCACCACGGGAGUAUUGCCACAACCGGAACUAUGGAAGAGAGAAUGGCAGAACUUGCCAAAGAGCUCCGACGGGAAAUUAAGGCCAACAGGGGAAAUGGAGACUCCAUUAAAACCCAGGACCUCUGCUUAGUAUCGAAGGUAGAUGUUCCAAAAAAGUUCAAAGUCCCGGAGUUCGACAAGUAUAACGGGCUGACUUGUCCUCAAAAUCAUAUUGUCAAAUACGUCCGGAAGAUGGGCAACUACAAGGACAAUGAUUCCCUUAUGAUCCAUUACUUCCAAGACAGUCUGAUGGAAGACGCUGCGGAGUGGUAUACUAGUCUGAGCAAAGAUGAUGUCCAUACUUUUGAUGAGCUAGCCACUGCUUUCAAGAGCCACUACGGGUUUAACACUCGAUUGAAGCCGAAUAGGGAGUUUCUCAGGUCCCUAUCUCAGAAAAAGGAGGAAAGUUUCCGUGAAUAUGCGCAAAGGUGGAGAGGGGCAGCUGCCCGUAUUACUCCUGCUUUAGAUGAAGAAGAAAUGACCCAGACAUUCUUAAAGACCUUGAAGAAAGAUUAUGUUGAGAGGAUGAUCAUCGCUGCCCCGAACAACUUUUCGGAGAUGGUCACUAUGGGAACCCGUCUUGAGGAAGCCGUCAGAGAUGGAAUCAUUGUGUUUGAGAAAGCUGAAUCCUCUGUGAAUGCGUCGAAGAGAUAUGGUAAUGGACACCACAAGAAGAAAGAAACGGAAGUGGGGAUGGUGUCAGCUGGAGCCGGUCAAUCAAUGGCUACCGUUGCUCCUAUCAAUGCAGCUCAAAUGCCUCCGUCAUACCCAUAUAUGCCGUAUUCUCAGCAUCCGUUCUUCCCACCGUUUUAUCAUCAGUACCCUUUGCCACCGGGCCAGCCUCAAGUGCCCGUCAAUGCAAUUGCCCAACAGAUGAAACAACAGUUGUCGGUUCAACAACAACAACAACAACAGCAGCAGCAGUAUACUAGACCAACUUUUCCUCCUAUACCAAUGUUGUACGCAGAACUUCUUCCAACUUUACUCCAGAGAGGGCAUUGUACCACCAGACAGGGUAAGCCCCCACCUGAUCCGUUGCCUCCAAGGUUCCGCUCUGAUCUUAAAUGUGAUUUUCAUCAAGGUGCCUUAGGUCAUGAUGUCGAGGGGUGUUAUGCUUUGAAGUAUAUCGUGAAGAAGCUCAUUGAUCAGGGAAAGCUGACUUUUGAGAAUAAUGUUCCACAUGUCCUUGACAAUCCUCUUCCAAAUCAUGCCGCUGUGAAUAUGAUCGAAGUGUGUGAGGAAGCUCCUAGACUUGAUGUCCGCAAUGUUGCCACUCCUCUGGUGCCUCUGCACAUCAAGCUGUGCAAAGCUUCUCUGUUCAGCCAUGAUCAUGCCAAGUGUCUAGGAUGCCUCCGUGAUCCUUUGGGCUGCUAUACUGUUCAAGACGACAUCCAAAGCUUGAUGGAUGAUAAUCUUCUGACUGUCAGUGAUGUUUGCGUGGUCGUGCCAGUUUUUCACGAUCCGCCUGUCAAGAGUGUACCUUUGAAGAAAAAUGCUGAGCCUUUGGUGAUAAGGUUGCCAGGACCAAUUCCUUAUGUUUCGGACAAGGCAGUGCCAUACAAAUACAAUGCUACUAUGAUAGAAAAUGGAGUAGAGGUGCCUCUAGCCUCCUUUGCCACAGUAAGCAAUAUUGCCGAAGGGACUUCUGCAGCGCUAAGAAGCGGGAAGGUUCGUCCGCCAUUAUUCCAGAAGAAGGUAGCUACGCCAAUCACUCCACCAGUUGAAGAAGCAACUCCAACCGUUGUUUCACCCAUUGCUACAGAUGUGAAUCAGCCAGGCAAAUCUAUAGAGGAUUCGAAUUUGGAUGAGAUUCUGAGAAUAAUAAAGAGGAGCGACUACAAGAUCGUUGAUCAGUUGCUGCAGACUCCUUCAAAGAUAUCUGUAUUGUCAUUACUCUUGAGCUCUGAGGCUCACAGGAAUACCUUGUUGAAAGUGCUGGAGCAGGCUUAUGUUGACCACGAAGUUACGGUAGAUCGUUUCAGUGGCAUAGUGGGAAAUAUUACUGCUUGUAACAACCUCUGGUUUAGUGAAGAAGAGUUGCCGGAAGUGGGAAAGGGUCACAAUCUGGCUUUGCACAUCUCGGUGAAUUGUAAAUCAGACAUGAUAUCAAAUGUGUUGGUGGAUACCGGUUCCUCUCUCAAUGUAAUGCCCAAGACAACUCUAGAUCAGUUGAGCUACCGUGGGACCCCUUUGAGAAGAAGUACUUUCUUGGUCAAAGCUUUUGACGGAUCUCGAAAGAAUGUGCUGGGGGAGAUAGACUUGCCGAUAACCAUUGGCCCUGAGAAUUUCUUGGUUACCUUCCAAGUAAUGGACAUUAAUGCAUCCUACAGUUGCCUGCUGGGAAGACCGUGGAUACACGAUGCAGGUGCGGUUACUUCCACCUUACAUCAGAAGUUGAAAUUUGUGAAGAAUGGAAAACUCGUUACAAUCCAUGGUGAAGAAGCAUACUUAGUCAGCCAGUUGUCUUCUUUCUCUUGUAUUGAAGCAGGGCCUGCUGAAGGGACUGCUUUCCAAGGUUUGACCAUUGAAGGUGCAGAGUCUAAGGAAGCUGGGGCUGCUAUGGCUUCAUUGAAGGAUGCUCAGAGAGCCAUCCAAGAAGGUCAGACUGCCGGCUGGGGCAAGAUGAUACAGCUCUGUGAGAACAAGCGUAAAGAAGGUCUCGGGUUCUCCCCGUCAUCAAGGGUUUCCUCGGGAGUUUUCCACAGUGCAGGGUUUGUUAAUGCUAUCUCUGAGGAAGCCACUGGAUCUGGUCUCAGGCCUGUAUUUGUUACACCAGGAGGCAUUGCGACGAAUUGGGAUGCCAUUGACAUUCCUUCAAUCAUGCAUGUUUCUGAGUAAUGUGUCUUGUUGCUUUAGUGCUUUGUUUUCAAAAUAACAAUCCUCUCGCUCUGCCCAAAGCGAGAGUGAUAUUUUCUGUAAGGGCAUGUUUGUUUCGGCAUUGCCGUUGAUUAAUAAAAUUUUGUCGUUUCUUCCACGACUACUUUUUUUUUAAAGUGCUUUUUCCCUUGGAAACAAUGGUAAUGCCAGAAAAAACCAAAACGUCUGUAUUUUCUUAUUAAUUUCAAAAAUCUGCAUGAAAAAAAAAAACUCUUUCUAAAAUCAUCCAAUCAUUAUAUGCAGGUUGAACCAUAAUAAACCCGUUGAACACAGUAAUCCUACGGUUCCUCCAAAUUUUGAAUCCCCUGUGUAUGAAGCCGAAGAUGAGGAAGGUGAUGACAUACCAUAUGAGAUCACUCGGUUACUUGAACAAGAAAAGAAAGCCAUUCAGCCUCACCAAGAAGAGAUUGAGCUUAUCAACAUAGGUACCGAGGAAAACAAGCGAGAAAUCAAGAUUGGUGCUACUCUAGAGGAAGGGGUUAAACAGAAGAUCAUCCAGCUUCUCCGGGAAUAUCCGGAUAUUUUUGCAUGGUCCUAUGAAGAUAUGCCAGGUCUAGACCCUAUGAUUGUGGAGCAUCGGAUCCCCACCAAGCCUGAAUGUCCUCCCGUCAGGCAGAAAUUGAGAAGGACUCAUCCUGAUAUGGCUCUCAAGAUCAAGAAUGAAGUUCAAAAGCAGAUUGAUGCGGGUUUCCUCAUGACAGUUGAGUAUCCCGAAUGGGUUGCCAAUAUUGUGCCUGUGCCAAAGAAGGAUGGUAAAGUCCGGAUGUGUGUUGACUUCAGAGACCUGAACAAGGCCAGUCCAAAAGACAACUUUCCAUUACCUCAUAUUGAUGUGCUUGUUGAUAAUACUGCUCAAUCUAAGGUGUUCUCCUUCAUGGACGGUUUUUCCGGUUAUAAUCAGAUCAAAAUGUCUCCUGAAGAUAGAGAAAAGACAUCUUUUAUCACUCCAUGGGGUACUUUCUGCUACAAAGUGAUGCCGUUCGGCCUAAUCAAUGCUGGUGCUACCUACCAAAGGGGAAUGACCACUCUGUUUCAUGACAUGAUUCACAAAGAAGUCGAAGUAUAUGUGGAUGAUAUGAUUGUGAAGUCAACAGAUGAGGGGCAGCAUGUUGAAUAUUUAACAAAGAUGUUUGAAAGGUUGAGAAAAUACAAGCUGCGAUUGAAUCCCAACAAAUGUACAUUCGGUGUCAGGUCCGGAAAGUUAUUAGGCUUCAUUGUCAGCCAAAAGGGCAUUGAAGUCGAUCCUGAUAAAGUCCGGGCCAUCCGAGAAAUGCCAGCUCCACAGACAGAGAAGCAAGUCAGAGGUUUCCUGGGACGUUUGAAUUACAUCUCCCGAUUCAUAUCUCACAUGACCGCAACCUGCGGGCCGAUCUUCAAGCUACUCAGAAAGAACCAGCCUGUUGUAUGGAAUGAUGAAUGCCAAGAAGCUUUUGAUAGCAUCAAGAAUUACCUGCUGGAACCACCUAUCCUUGUCCCACCCGUGGAAGGAAGGCCUUUGAUUAUGUAUUUGGCAGUAUUUGAUGAAUCCAUGGGAUGCGUACUUGGUCAACAAGAUGAAACCGGAAAGAAAGAGCAUGCUAUCUACUAUCUAAGCAAGAAGUUCACCGAUUGUGAAACUCGGUAUACAAUGCUUGAAAAGACUUGUUGUGCUCUAGCUUGGGCUGCCAAACGCCUGCGUCAUUAUUUGGUGAAUCAUACAACUUGGUUGAUAUCCAGAAUGGAUCCGAUAAAGUAUAUCUUUGAGAAAGCGGCCGUUACUGGGAAGAUUGCACGCUGGCAGAUGCUUUUGUCUGAAUAUGAUAUUGUGUUCAAAACUCAAAAGGCAAUCAAAGGCAGCAUCCUCGCCGAUCACCUUGCUUAUCAACCUCUUGAUGAUUACCAACCAAUUGAAUUCGAUUUCCCUGAUGAAGAGAUCAUGUAUUUGAAAUCCAAAGACUGCGACGAACCGUUGAUUAAUGAAGGUCCAGAUCCCAAUAGCAAGUGGGGUUUAGUCUUUGAUGGUGCUGUCAAUGCUUAUGGCAAAGGAAUUGGGGCAGUCCUUGUAUCCCCGCAAGGCAUCACAUUCCUUUUACCGCCCGAAUUUUGUUCGAAUGCACCAACAAUAUGGCUGAGUAUGAAGCAUGUAUCUUUGGGAUCGAGGAAGCAAUUGACAUGAGAAUCAAACACCUCGACAUCUAUGGAGAUUCUGCGCUCGUCAUCAAUCAGAUAAAGGGUGAAUGGGAGACCCACCAUGCUAAGUUGAUUCCUUAUCGUGAUUAUGCGAGACGUCUUCUGACAUAUUUUACAAAGGUUGAGCUGCACCAUAUUCCUCGUGAUGAGAACCAAAUGGCUGAUGCCCUUGCUACUCUAUCUUCCAUGUUUCGAGUAAACCAUUGGAAUGAUGUGCCAUUAAUCAAAGUGCAACGCCUUGAAAGGCCUUCGCAUGUGUUUGCUAUUGGGGAUGUGAUCGAUCAGGCUGGUGAAAAUGUGGUUGACUAUAGACCUUGGUACUACGACAUCAAACAGUUCUUGCUGAGCCGUGAGUAUCCGCCGGGUGCUUCCAAACAAGACAAGAAGACCUUGAGAAGAUUGGCCGGUAGAUUCCUGUUAGAUGGAGAUAUUUUGUACAAGAGGAACUAUGACAUGGUAUUGUUAAGAUGUGUUGAUGAACAUGAAGCAGAGCAGUUAAUGCAUGAUGUACAUGACGGUACCUUCGGGACCCAUGCUACAGGGCAUACUAUGUCAAGAAAGCUGCUACGGGCAGGUUACUACUGGAUGACUAUGGAGCAUGAUUGCUACCAGUACGCCAGAAAAUGUCACAAAUGUCAAAUCUAUGCUGAUAAGAUUCAUGUGCCUCCGCACGCCCUCAAUGUUAUGUCAUCCCCAUGGCCGUUCUCAAUGUGGGGCAUCGAUAUGAUUGGAAGAAUUGAACCGAAGGCUUCAAAUGGUCAUCGUUUCAUCUUGGUGGCGAUUGACUACUUCACCAAGUGGGUUGAAGCAGCAUCUUAUACCAAUGUGACCAAGCAAGUGGUAGCUAAGUUCAUCAAGAACAACAUCAUCUGCCGAUAUGGUGUUCCCAGCAAGAUUAUUACCGACAAUGGUACCAACCUGAACAAUAAUGUGGUGCAAGCUCUUUGUGAAGAAUUCAAAAUUGAGCAUCAUAACUCUUCUCCCUAUAGACCUCAGAUGAAUGGUGCAGUUGAGGCCGCCAACAAGAAUAUCAAGAGGAUUGUCCAGAAAAUGGUAACCACUUACAAGGACUGGCAUGAGAUGUUACCUUAUGCUCUGCAUGGCUACCGUACUACUGUGCGUAGUUCAACCGGGGCAACCCCUUUCUCUCUUGUAUAUGGUAUGGAAGCAGUUCUUCCUUUGGAAGUGGAGAUCCCAUCUCUCCGUGUGAUUAUGGAAGUAAAGUUAUCUGAGGCUGAAUGGUGCCAAAGCCGGUAUGAUCAGUUGAAUUUGAUUGAGGAAAAACGUAUGGAUGCCAUGGCUCGUGGACAGUCAUAUCAAGCAAGAAUGAAGACUGCCUUUGACAAGAAAGUCCAUCCUCGAGAAUUCAAGGUAGGGGAACUUGUAUUGAAAAGGAGGAUAAGCCAGCAACCCGACCCAAGGGGCAAGUGGACGCCUAACUAUGAAGGUCCUUAUGUUGUCAAGAAGACCUUCUCCGGUGGUGCUUUAAUCCUUACACACAUGGAUGGUGUAGAACUUCCAAAUCCAGUGAAUGCCGAUAUAGUCAAGAAAUACUUUGCCUAGAAAUAUGAAAAGAACAGCGUGGUAGGUCGAAAACCCGAAAGGGCGGCCUAGGCAAAAAUGCGCUUCCCGGUGGAUCGAAAACCCGAAAGGGCGGUCCAGGCAAAAAUAAGGGACAAAAAAAUAUAUAUGAAAAGCUCGCUGAGAUUGUACGCAACUCAGGCAAGAAUGAGCGUCUCGAUGAGCCGAAAACCCGGAAGGGCGGUUCAUGCAAAAAUGAGAUUGAAACAAAAGGCAAGUAACUAUAUCUGGCUAACCACCGUCCCCCUUGGGGCAUCUGCAGCUGUUAAUGACCAUCUUCAUCUGAAGCCUCUGUACUUGUGAAUUCAAAGUUUUCGGGAAAUGUAAUGAUUGCUGUGUUCAAUGUACCACCAACCAAUAAAAUUACCAUUUUCCAAGCUUUGUAAAUCCGUGGAGUCACGCCUUCGGCUGACCACCACUCUUAUACAUCAAAUUGAGCCUGUGCUUUUGUUUGAAAACUCCAUUUUCUUCUACUUUCAAAGCUAUAUACAAAUCAUUUUCCUUCUAUUUUGAUAAUGACAAUGCUUGAAACAAACAUUUUGAAAAUUGAAAACCUUUUGUCUAUUUUGAAAAGCAAACCUGAGCAACAGGGUACAUUCAAAUGAAACAUGCAUGAGCGAGAGUAUGUUGGUGUCUAUUUCAAUAUGUGUUACGAGCAGGUUCUCCUCCAAGAUAAUCUGUGGUCAAUGGCAAGAAUGAAAAAACAGAAUGAAAAUGCAUGAAAUUAAAUAGGCUCGCUAAGUUGAAAACCCGAAAGGGCGGCUUAGGCAAAAAUGAGCACCCCGCUGGAUUGACAACCCGAAAGGGCAGUUCAGGCAAAAAUAGGGCAUUGAAAAGAAUUUAUUUCCCCGGUGGAUUGAAAACCCGAAAGGGCGAUCCAGGCAAAAAUGGGAUGUAAUGAAAAAUGAGAAAAAUGAAAAUGAGGAUAUAACAUGCAAAAAGCAUUGACCACAGAUGCAAUGUCUACAACAUACCCAGCACUGAAAUGCCCAGCACAACGGCGUUUUCCCCAGUCGGGUCUUCCAAGAUUCUAUCUCCAGCAAGUUGCAUACCUACCUGCCCUCAGCCAUGGUUCCGAUACGUCUCCCAACGACGUCAUCUCCAAAGAGGAUUUCCAAGAAUGUGUAAUAUAGCACGAGCCACUACGUGCCCAAUACUCUGAUGUCUUGUCUUCCCCGUGAAGUCGUGCCUACAAAAUGCCAACAGUCAUGCAUUACAAGCAUUCAUACAUGCAUAAUCAUGCAUAUUACGUGCUCAUGCAUUUAAUGAAACUGUUAUAUCAUCCGUGCAUAUUGCAUUUCCAAUGUCAACAUCAGUCUCAAUUCGAUACUCAUGUCAGGUUCUCUGUCAAAACCUUGUGAGCCAAUAAUACCGGUCAAUUUCUACCUUUCAAAUCGAAUCAACGUUAAGUCAAUCUCAAUCUAUACUUUGUCAAAACAAACCAAUCCCCAGUGAAUAUGUUUCUGUUUGGUCAAGUGGCUAGUUCAAGUCCAAGAACAGCUUGUACCUAUCAAUUUGCUUAUGUUAUCGGUCGAGUGCCCAGCUCAAUCCAAGAACAGCUCGUACCUGUCUAUGUGUCUAUGAUUUUGGGUCAAGUGGCUAGUUCAAGUCCAAGAACAGCUUGUACCCGUCUAUCUGUUUCUGUUCGCUCAAGUGGCUAGCUCGAUCCAAGAGCAGCUUGCGCCUGUCUAUUUUGUAUUUGUCUCCGGUGGAGUAACCAGUUCGCAUCCAAGAACAAGCUCGCACCUGUCUAUUUGCCUUGCUUUCAGUCGAGUAACCAGUUCGAAUCCUUAAGAACAACUCGUACCUGCCAAUUUUACAUGUUUUCAGUCGAGUCACCAGUUCGAAUCCGUAAGAACAACUCGUACUUGUCAAUUUUCUCUUUUUCCAGUCGAGUCACCAGUUCGAAUCCGUAAGAACAACUCGCACUUUCCAAUAUCCCCAAGUGAGUUACCAGUUCGAAUCCAUAAGAACAACUCAUGUUUGUCCAGUAACCGCUAUCCCCUGUGAAGUGACCAGUUCGAAUCCAUAAGAACAACUCGCAGUUGUCCGUUUGUUUCAUCCCCGGUCAAGUGGCUAGUUUGAAUCCAAGAACAGCUUGUACCUGUCCAACUUGUUUCUAGUUUCCCGUUACUCUGCUAUUCACUAUCUUUGUCAAUGUCUACCAAUCCCGCAAUGGAUAUGACAUAUUUUGUUAAUUCCAAUCCCCAUGAGGUCUUGCAUUCAUAAUCCAAAUGAUGCAUGGCAUGCAUAUUAUUUGAAAAUGGGUAGGCGUAUUUUUACGUCCAAACACAGUGCAAAUGCUAAUAUUUAAGUAUCUUCGUCCUGUCAAGCCAAAGACUCCGUCUCUUGACUCUCUAGACAAAGAAACUUAAAUAGGGGCAGCUGUUAUACCCUGUUUUUGGACCUAAAAAUACUGGGCCCAAUUUCAUUUCAAAACUUUGUCAAUUAUCAAAUUUCAACUGCACAGUUCAAUUUGUCUCUGCCUCGCAGUAUUUUCAAUCGCAAUUUUACCUAUGUUUUUCUUGCAUAAAACCUUUCGAGAUGUCUUUACUUGUCUUGUAAGUCGUUCAAAAGUGUCUCUGAAUCAUUUCAUUGCUUUUUCUACAGUUUAUUUCAAAAUUUGCAAAAAAGUCAUACAGAAGGGUAUUUUGGUCAUUUCCUGCAGUGGGACCCAUUUUCAUCCUUGUGACUGUCUCUGAGUCUUUUCAAAUUGUUUUUUUUCAUUUCAUCAGUAAACUUUGUUAAUUUCGUUUCAAACUUGCGUCUGAGUCAGUGUCGAGUCAAUUUGAAUCUGUUUAGGUCAAUUUUAGCCCUAGGGGCAUUUUGGUCAUUUCACACGAAAUUUUGGCAUAGAGAGGUUACUUUGAAGUACCUCAUUUAGGCCAUUGGUUCGUUUUAGUCCGUUUUGUCAGUUUUAUUUUUGUUUCGCUUUACGUUUAGUCAAAUUACAUAUUUUAAUUCAUUUUUAUUUUUACUUUGCAUUUUAAUCCUUCAACUUUUUAAAAUUGCAUUUAAGUCCAAACUGUCCAAUCUUUAUGUUUUUUUAGUUCUAUUUUUAAAAUUGCAGUCCAGUCCCAUAUUUUACAAAAUUGCAGGGAGGUCCUCAAAGUCCAAAAUUGCAAAGCCGUGCCAUUUCUUCUCCAGAUCCAGGUGUCCUGUUCUCAUUGGUUCAGAUGCACACUUGUCAGCUAUAAAAGCA
rnacentral:lncRNA from 1 species